CCAAAAAUUAUUUUGGCCUUGACUUUGAUUUUCUUGACGUGGGUUGUAAGGUUUGGAAUUGAUAUUAGUGGUUAGGCGAUGGGGGUGUAGUAGCCGAGAUUUUGAGAAGAUAAGGUGACGGUGAUAGUGGCGCGAUCCACUAAAGAUUUUUGGGCCAAACCACGUAGGUUUUGUUGGCUGAUUUUUUUGUUGUACCGUCUGUGGAUUUGCAUUAUAUAUUCAGCUGUUAUGUGCACUAAGUAUACAAAGAUACAGAGAGAAAAAUAAGAGGAAAGAGUGAGUGAGCCGAGAGAAGACAGGAGGUCCGAGAGUUUGCAGAGGAGGCCAGAAGUUUGAGGCUUUGAUGAUCUAGUACCGAAGAUGAACGUGGAUUGUUAAAUUUGGGCUUAGGUUGAAGAGUCGGCGUUGCAUGAUUUAUUUUAUUUAUUUGAAGAAUUUUUUGUGUAUUUGAGGAAAUUGACUUUGUAUAAAAGAGAACAAUUUUUCUUUUUUAUGAUUCUGGGUAUAUUUUGAUGUAUUUUGAUUUGAAUGAAUGGAGGAUUUUAUUGGAA